rnacentral:sRNA from 1 species
GCGCCGGCUCCAACCCUGCAGAUGGAAAGGCGAGAACGUGUCCACGCACGAGGUGGAGGGCGUGCUGUCGCAGGUGGACUUCCUGCAACAGGUUAACGUGUAUGGCGUGUGUGUGCCAGGACGCCAUGGAGGUCACCAGCACGUUCAAACUGAUGAAGACCCGGUUGGUGCGUGAGGGCUUCAAUGUGGGGAUCGUGGUUGACCCUCUGUUUGUACUGGACAGCCGGGCCCAGUCCUUCCGGCCCCUGACGGCAGAAAUGUACCAGGCUGUGUGUGAGGGAACCUGGAGGCUCUGACCACCUGGCCAACCCACUGGGGCAGGGAUCAAAGCCAGCCACCCCCACCCCAACACACUCGGUGUCCCUUUCAUCCUGGGCCUGCGCGAAUCCCAGCCUGGCCAUACCCUGAACCUCAGUGGGCUGGAAAUGACAGUCGGCCCUGUAGCAGUGGCAGAAUAAACUCAAAUAUGUUCAC